GAAGCUAACUUAAGGAUGGGACGACUGCAGGAGUUGACUGAGAAUCCUGUAAAGAAAACUGCCAGUUUUGGCAAGAAGAAAGAGGGUGAUGUGUAUUCCAUCACUCGACAGAACACCCAAUCUUCAUUACCUCCAAAUAAUUACCGGCCAUGUCCUCCCCCUCAUGGCCAAACCAUUGCAAACAUUCCACCCCCUUUUCCCAAAUUAUCCUCAC
rnacentral:misc_RNA from 1 species